AACGAACGCUGGCGGCAGGCCUAACACAUGCAAGUCGAACGCCGUAGCAAUACGGAGUGGCAGACGGGUGAGUAACGCGUGGGAACGUACCCUUCAGUUCGGAAUAACCCAGGGAAACUUGGGCUAAUACCGGAUACGUGCGAGAGCAGAAAGAUUUAUCGCUGAAGGAUCGGCCCGCGUCCGAUUAGCUAGUUGGUGAGGUAAUGGCUCACCAAGGCGACGAUCGGUAGCUGGUCUGAGAGGAUGAUCAGCCACAUUGGGACUGAGACACGGCCCAAACUCCUACGGGAGGCAGCAGUGGGGAAUAUUGGACAAUGGGCGCAAGCUUGAUCCAGCCAUGCCGCGUGAGUGAUGAAGGCCCUAGGGUUGUAAAGCUCUUUCGCCAGGGACGAUAAUGACGGUACCUGGAUAAGAAGCCCCGGCUAACUUCGUGCCAGCCGCCGCAGUAA
rnacentral:rRNA from 1 species